rnacentral:rRNA from 1 species
AUUGAACGCUGGCGGCAGGCCUAACACAUGCAAGUCGAGCGAAUGAGGGAAGCUUGCUUCCCGAUUUAGCGGCGGACGGGUGAGUAAUGCCUAGGAAUCUGCCUAUUAGUGGGGGAUAACGUUCCGAAAGGAACGCUAAUACCGCAUACGUCCUACGGGAGAAAGUGGGGGAGCUUCGGAUCUCACGCUAAUAGAUGAGCCUAGGUCGGAUUAGCUAGUUGGUGAGGUAACGGCUCACCAAGGAGACGAUCCGUAGUUGGUCUGAGAGGAUGAUCAGCCACAGUGGAACUGAGACACGGUCCAGACUCCUACGGGAGGCAGCAGUGGGGAAUAUUGGACAAUGGGCGAAAGCCUGAUCCAGCCAUGCCGCGUGUGUGAAGAAGGUCUUCGGAUUGUAAAGCACUUUAAGUUGGGAGGAAGGGUUGUAAGCUAAUAUCUUGCAGCUUUGACGUUACCAACAGAAUAAGCACCGGCUAACUCUGUGCCAGCCGCCGCCGUAACAC